UACGUAGGGUCCGAGCGUUGUCCGGAAUUAUUGGGCGUAAAGGGCUCGUAGGCGGUUUGUCACGUCGGGCGUGAAAACUCAGGGCUCAACCCUGAGCGUGCGUUCGAUACGGGCAGACUAGAGGUAUGCAGGGGAGAACGGAAUUCCUGGUGUAGCGGUGGAAUGCGCAGAUAUCAGGAGGAACACCGGUGGCGAAGGCGGGUCUCUGGGCCGAUACUGACGCUGAGGAGCGAAAGCGUGGGGAGCGAACAGG
rnacentral:rRNA from 1 species